rnacentral:rRNA from 1 species
GAGUUUGAUCUUGGCUCAGAUUGAACGCUGGCGGCAUGCCUUACACAUGCAAGUCGAACGCGAAAGCGGGGCAACCCGCAAGUAGAGUGGCGAACGGGUGAGUAAUACAUCGGAACAUAUCCAGUAGCGGGGGAUAACCUGUCGAAAGAUAGGCUAAUACCGCAUACGACCUACGGGUGAAAGCGGAGGACCGCAAGGCUUCGCACUAUUGGAGUGGCCGAUGUCGGAUUAGCUAGUUGGUGAGGUAAAAGCUCACCAAGGCGACGAUCCGUAGCUGGUCUGAGAGGACGACCAGCCACACUGGAACUGAGACACGGUCCAGACUCCUACGGGAGGCAGCAGUGGGGAAUUUUGGACAAUGGGCGCAAGCCUGAUCCAG